GUAUAAUAAAACAUGUUUGCAGCACUUUUAUGACAACAGAAUCUCUUUCGUGCUUUUCUGGCAUUAACAGCUGAGACCGUUACAAGGAAACCCUAGGAGACAAGGAUUUUUAAUUCUAAAAAACCAGAAAGCUCAAAAUGGCUGAAAGAAUGAAGCUUUACUAUUACACAUAAGAGGCUCUCUGAGAGACACUGCACUUAUGAACAUAACCGC